AACGAACGCUGGCGGCAGGCUUAACACAUGCAAGUCGAGCGCCCCGCAAGGGGAGCGGCAGACGGGUGAGUAACGCGUGGGAAUCUACCCAUCUCUACGGAAUAACGCAUGGAAACGUGUGCUAAUACCGUAUACGUUCUUCGGGAGAAAGAUUUAUCGGAGAUGGAUGAGCUCGCGUUGGAUUAGCUAGUUGGUGGGGUAAAGGCCUACCAAGGCGACGAUCCAUAGCUGGUCUGAGAGGAUGAUCAGCCACACUGGGACUGAAACACGGCCCAGACUCCUACGGGAGGCAGCAGUGGGGAAUAUUGGACAAUGGGCGCAAGCCUGAUCCAGCCAUGCCGCGUGAGUGAUGAAGGCCCUAGGGUUGUAAAGCUCUUUCACCGGUGAAGAUAAUGACGGUAACCGGAGAAGAAGCCCCGGCUAACUUCGUGCCAGCCGCCGCCGUAAUAC
rnacentral:rRNA from 1 species